rnacentral:rRNA from 1 species
UACAGAGGAUGCAAGCGUUAUCCGGAAUCACUGGGCAUAAAGCGUCUGUAGGUUGCAAAUUAAGUCUGCUGUUAAAGACUAGGGCCUAACCCUGGAAAAGCAGUGGAAACUAAUAUGCUAGAGUGUGGUAGAGGUAGAGGGAAUUCCUGGUGUAGCGGUGAAAUGCGUAGAUAUUAGGAAGAACACCAAUGGCGAAAGCACUCUACUGGGCCAUAACUGACACUGAGAGACGACAGCUAGGGGAGCAAAUGGG